rnacentral:rRNA from 1 species
GUAGUCCACACCGUAAACGAUGAACACUAGGUGUCGGGGUCGCAAGGCUUCGGUGCCGCAGUUAACGCAUUAAGUGUUCCGCCUGGGGAGUACGCACGCAAGUGUAAAACUCAAAGGAAUUGACGGGGACCCGCACAAGCAGCGGAGCAUGUGGUUUAAUUCGAAGCAACGCGAAGAACCUUACCAGAACUUGACAUCCCUCUGACAGGACUUUAAUAGGUCCCUUCUUCGGACAGAGGAGACAGGUGGUGCAUGGUUGUCGUCAGCUCGUGUCGUGAGAUGUUGGGUUAAGUCCCGCAACGAGCGCAACCCUUGUCAUUAGUUGCCAGCAGUAAGAUGGGCACUCUAGUGAGACUGCCGGGGAUAACUCGGA